CUGGCGGCGUGCCUAAUACAUGCAAGUCGAACGAACUCUGGUAUUGAUUGGUGCUUGCAUCAUGAUUUACAUUUGAGUGAGUGGCGAACUGGUGAGUAACACGUGGGAAACCUGCCCAGAAGCGGGGGAUAACACCUGGAAACAGAUGCUAAUACCGCAUAACAACUUGGACCGCAUGGUCCGAGUUUGAAAGAUGGCUUCGGCUAUCACUUUUGGAUGGUCCCGCGGCGUAUUAGCUAGAUGGUGGGGUAACGGCUCACCAUGGCAAUGAUACGUAGCCGACCUGAGAGGGUAAUCGGCCACAUUGGGACUGAGACACGGCCCAAACUCCUACGGGAGGCAGCAGUAGGGAAUCUUCCACAAUGGACGAAAGUCUGAUGGAGCAACGCCGCGUGAGUGAAGAAGGGUUUCGGCUCGUAAAACUCUGUUGUUAAAGAAGAACAUAUCUGAGAGUAACUGUUCAGGUAUUGACGGUAUUUAACCAGAAAGCCACGGCUAACUACGUGCCAGCAGCCGCGGUAAUACGUAGGUGGCAAGCGUUGUCCGGAUUUAUUGGGCGUAAAGCGAGCGCAGGCGGUUUUUUAAGUCUGAUGUGAAAGCCUUCGGCUCAACCGAAGAAGUGCAUCGGAAACUGGGAAACUUGAGUGCAGAAGAGGACAGUGGAACUCCAUGUGU
rnacentral:rRNA from 2 species